AGCACUCCAGGCCUACUUCCUAUGGCAUAGCGUGUUAUCGUUGCCCGGCUUAUUUGUCCUGGCCGGCGGCUACACCUCGCACACACCACCCACCCAUUCACCCCCCGUCCCGUCCCACCCACAGACGCAGACGGGUCGCGCGCGCCGACAGCGGUGGACGAGCCGCGGAGAGAGCCGUCGAGGUUGGACGGUGGAGGGGCCACGCGCCGUCAACCUUCAGGCGGAGAUAAAGUGUGUGCGGAGAUGGGCAGCGGCUCGACAACGUCUGAGUGGGCGCGGACGAGCGGGCCGGCGGUGGUGACGGCGGCAAGUAGCUGCAGCAAAAGGCGGCCGGCGGGCAGGCGGUAGCUUACCCGCCAUGGCACACCACUGUCUCUGCGGGUGCGGAGGCGUCGUCCCAAAUCCGGGCGCAUCUGCCGCCGGCCGAGAUCUGAGGUGCCUUGCAGGACAUCGGCAUCCACGGAGCACCCGUGGUGAUUUCAGGCCGAAGUCGUCUCCGGCUUCAAGUUACCGGAGUCCGUGAUCUGGAUCCACGCCGAGCAUCACACCAGAGAGGGGAAAUCUCAGGUUUUGGGGGCAUAUCGUGGGUUCGAGGUUCCCGGAAAUUGCGGUACCAGCGUCCGGCGGCAGAAAAGCCGCAGGUAUGGCUGGCCGCUUGGCCGGAAUGCAGCGGCGGCGGAUGGCAGUUGGCAGGACAAGCUGCAGCCGUGUUGCUGUUUGAAAGUAUUUGAGUGGGUAGUUACUGAAAAAUUGGUUUCUAGUUCUUGCCUGUUUCUUUUGUUUCUCCUUACAGCAGUCUGGACUCUGGAGCUAAGUUACUCAAAUCCAUUUUCUCUGUUUUGUAGAAAUGCUUGAGUUGAUCUGUAAGGAUACUGAAAGAAACCCCAAAUUUUAGUCUCUUAAUUGCCAGCUGAGCCCAUCGUUGCUAGCUGUUGCUCUUAAUUGGUUGUUUUUAUUUAACUUGCAUUUAAGGGUUAUGCUGGGCCAGUUAGGCGGGUUGUGAUCGAGGAUGGUUGAUGCCUGCAAGGAUGGAUGCUUAAUGGCUUGUUUUCUCUGUUCUGCUUGGCGUUUUACUUUCCGUUGUUUUGAUAAUGGAUGUUAAAGGCUUGUUUUCCUGAAGACCUUCCGUUUGCCCAACCCCUGCUGUUUGCUGAAACCUGUUGGGCCUCUGAUGAAUCUGCUGUUUGCUGAAGCCUGAAGCCUGCUAGACGUUUGAUGAACCUGUUGUUUUGCUGAAGCCUCAAGCCUGUUAGGCGUUUGAUGAACAUCCGGUUUGCUUAAGCCUGAAGCCUGAUGUUUUGUUGAAUAAAGCAAGCUAGAGCUGUUGUUUUGCUAUCUUUGUACAUAUUACUGCUAUACCGGAAUCAAUGUGAUUGUAACUAAAAAAAAGAAUGAAUGUGAGGCACGAUGCUGAAUACUACAUGCCUGAAACACUCA